UAAAGAGCAGCUUCAUCCACUUUGAUGACCCUAGCUUUUGCGAGUGGAUGCGCAGCCUCAAAUUGGUCCCGCCGGAACAAAGCUAAUGCAAAUAAUUGGAUGAGUGCAAUCAGAAACGAUUGUGGAUAGCCGAGGUUUGGUUUCAAACAGAGUUGCCAAACGACAUCUGAAAACUUUGCGAGGUAACGCCUAAGGCCCAAACAUUUGUUUGGGUUGAUGAAGCGGCAAUUUGUGUGAAGUGAAGCUGUAUAAUUUUGCCUGAUUAUUUUCUCUGAUGUGGUCGCGUAAAUGCAUUAUCUCUUGCCACACAGGUGCGUAAAAUUUUAGACAAUUAGAGCAUCGCUUAUGUUCUCCUGCCUUUGAAGAGUUUGUUGUAUGUCACAUAAUAGAAGUCUGUCCUGGCCAUUCAUUUGAUUCCUUUUACUCGAGGCGAAUCCCAAUUCUCCAUUUGCACAACUUUUUUGUUUUGUUUUGAGAAAGUCCAUUUAUACAAUCAGAGAUACUACAUUUCAACAGUGUUGCUUAGUGUUUACAGCAUUACAUUUGUU
rnacentral:lncRNA from 1 species